GGCUCUAAUAUCACUAUUGAAUUUUAUCCAUAUAGUGAAAAUAAUUUUUAAAAAUUUUAAAAUACUUAAAUUAAUAGCUUUAUCAAAUAAAACUAUCGAGCCGAACUCAAAAUCCUAGAAUCACCUUGCUGAACACGAUCAAAGUAAAUUCAAGCAUGCAAAGAGAUAGAAUAUUAUACUUUAACCAAAAUAGAAAAGUGGCACAUUGAUGUUCUCCAUA
rnacentral:lncRNA from 1 species